AGCAAUGGUGGCCCAGGCGGGGCAGCCUUCGGGCUGGCCGGUUUCCAAUAAGGCCGGUAUUCCUACCCCCGUCUGGGCUACCACCCAU
ncrna:Yersinia mollaretii ATCC 43969 C4 antisense RNA